rnacentral:rRNA from 1 species
UACGGAGGGGGCUAGCGUUGUUCGGAAUUACUGGGCGUAAAGCGUACGUAGGCGGCUUUUUAAGUCAGAGGUGAAAUCCCACGACUCAAUCGUGGAACUGCCUUUGAGACUGGAUCGCUUGAAGAUGGGAGAGGUAAGUGGAAUUCCGAGUGUAGAGGUGAAAUUCGUAGAUAUUCGGAAGAACACCAGUGGCGAAGGCGGCUUACUGGACCAUUCUUGACGCUGAGGUACGAAAGCGUGGGGAGCAAACAGG